CACUUGGUAGCACAUGGUGUGCACCUGCUCGAACUAAGUAGGAGGAUAGGUUCCACUUAAGCAGAGGGCCCCGGUUCGAUUCCGGGUCGGGUGA